GACGAACCGUGCGAACGUUAUUCGGAAUCACUGGGCUUAAAGCGCGUGUAGGCGGAUGGGAACGUCGGCAACUGAAAUCCCCCGGCUCAACCGGGGAAGUGGUACCGAAACGACCUGUCUGGAGGGACGUAGGGGGACCUGGAACUUCCGGUGGAGCGGUGAAAUGCGUUGAGAUCGGAAGGAACGCCCGUGGCGAAAGCGAGGUCCUGGACGUCUGCUGACGCUGAGACGCGAAAGCUAGGGGAGCAAACGGG
rnacentral:rRNA from 1 species